rnacentral:rRNA from 1 species
UACGUAGGGUGCGAGCGUUAAUCGGAAUUACUGGGCGUAAAGCGUGCGCAGGCGGUUUUGUAAGCCAGAUGUGAAAUCCCCGGGCUUAACCUGGGAACUGCAUUUGUGACUGCAUGGCUAGAGUACGGUAGAGGAGACUAGAAUUCCUGGUGUAGCAGUGAAAUGCGUAGAUAUCAGGAGGAAUACCGAUGGCGAAGGCAGGUCUCUGGGCUGACACUGACGCUCAUGCACGAAAGCGUGAGGAGCAAACAGG